GUGCGCGGCUGGAGGCGGAGCGAGCCGGCUGCGCGCACGGCCCGGGGGCUCCCGCCAGAACCCGAGCCCACGCACACAAGGGUCGCGGGGCUGGGAAGCUCGUCAUCCAAGCCCGUCAGGGAGCCCCCCCAUCACCCGACCGCGAAAGGCUGAGAGAAGGGAGGGUUCGUGCCACCAGGUCCUGGUCCCCCGGCUAGAUGUGGUGGGCGCGCGCCCCGACUACUCGUCCCACGCCCCCCUUCCUCUUCCCGCGCGCCCCUGAGGGGUGACUGGGUUGGUGGGCGGGCAGGAGCGCACCUGGGUCCGUCCUCUCAGGGCUCGCUCGCUCGCUCGCUCGCUCAGGCACGCGUGCGCAGAAGGGCGGGAAGGGAGAGGAGACACGCCGGGGCCCAGCACCGGCCGGCCUGACCCCUUCAGUCUGUCUCUAUGGGCGCGCGCCGACAGCCUCGCGCACCGGCCCCGGGGCCCCGGCUGAGGGUGCGCGCGCAGCACCCCGGGAAGGUGGGGGGGAGGCGGUGGCGGAAAGAUGCGCGCGCAGUCAGCCGUCAUGGGAGGGGGAACUGUGGGGCGUUCGCCAUCUUGUCUCCCUCUCCUUACCUGCGUCCUCGGGGGCGUGCGCACCACCCCCCCUCCCGCCUAGGAGGGGGGAGGGCCCCCUCUUGGCCACCGCCUUCGCGGCCUUUAAACUCCCCUGGAGACUGCGGCUACUGCCACCGCCUUGCCUCCACUGCCUCUUCUCGCAGCACACAGAUGCGGACGGUGGGUGGGGAAAAAGGGCAGACGCUACUCCCAGCGAACCGCCGCUGCCGCUCCCGAGGCCUCACCAAAAUGGCCGCCGCCGUCUCGGCCGCCACCACCACCACUACCACCACCACUCGCUCGGAAUCGCUAUCGCCGGCGCGGCCCGUCUUCUCGCGAGAGACAAUCACCCAGUAAGCUGCAGCAAGUUAGCAGUGGAACCUGGGCCUCCCGAUUCCCAUGGCAGCCCACUUCUGUAGCGCUGCUUCGUUUUACGCGAGGGUGGUUUCCUGAUAGCUUUCAAACACCUUUGCCAUCUCUUCGCAAACUUUCUAGAUUAAGAAUCCCUUUGAGAAUCUGAUACCUUUACCCCAGAAUAGAACAAUAAAUAACAGCUACCUUCUA
rnacentral:antisense_RNA from 1 species